rnacentral:lncRNA from 1 species
CCAGCCCUAGUUUGCUCACAUGGCAGUUGGACAGAUGUCCAAUAGUGCCGGCAGAAGUAUGCAAGGCUCUGAGGGCCCAGAACCUAAGUUUGCAUAAUAUUACUCCCUCAUUCUUUUGAGCAAAUCAAGUCACAAGGCCUGCAGAUUUGAAUAACUGAAAAACAGAUUAAUAGGCACUGCAAAGUUACCUUGCAAAGGGCAUGGGUACAAGGAGUGGUAGAGAACUAUGAGCAUUUUGUGAUCCACCAUGUAGUGUUGUCAGAAUUGCUGAAUAAUGAGGAAGAGGCCUGUAGGGAAAUGGUGAAAUCGAAGCAAAAUUGCAAAAAUCUGAACUGGUAAACUGUGUACAUGUUAUUUUUUUUAUUUUUAUUUUUUAUUAUACUUUAAGUUCUAGGGUACAUGUGCACAAUGUGUAGGUUUGUUACAUAUGUAUACAUGUGCCAUGUUGGUGUGCUGCACCCAUUAACUCGUCAUUGCGCAUAUGUUGUUAUUCACUGAAAAGGGAAGAGAAGUAUAUUUGAUUUUAAACAUGAGUUGGAAAUGUCAGUCUCAAACACAGAUCUGAAGUUCACAAAUGAGAUUAAGAAGCUCCAUCAAAAACUACAAGAACUGAUAAAAAUCAGUAAAACUGCAAGAUACAAAAUCAACAUAUAAAAAUUAGUAACAUCUCUAUAUGCCAAAAGUGAACAAUCUGAAAAUUUUUUUUAAUCCCAUUUACAAUAGUUACAAAUAAAAUUAAAUACCUAGGAAUUAACCCUUUAACCAAGAAGUAAAUGAUCUCUACAAUGAAAACUAUAAAACAAUGAAAAAAAUUGAAGAGGACACAAACUAUGGAAAGAUAUUCCAUGUUCAUGGAUUGGAAGACUCAAUAUCAUUAAAAUGUCCAUAUUAACAGAUUCAAUGCAAUCCCUAUCAAUGCCAUUCUUCACAGAAACAGGAAAAAUUCUAAAAAUUAUGUGGAACCACAAAAGACCCAGAAUAGCAAAAGUUAUCAUGAGCAUAAAGAAGAAAACUGGAGAAAUCACAUUACCUGACUUCACAUUCUACUACAGAACUAUAGAAACCAAAACAGCAUGGUACUGGAAUAAAAACAGACACAUAGAACAAUGGAAAGAAAUAGAGAAUCCAGUAAUAAAUCCACACAUCUCCAUACAUCUACUGGCCAGGCAAAAUGGCUCAUGCCUAUAAUCCCAGCAUUUUGGGAGGCUGAGGCGGGCGGAUCACUUGAGGCCAGGAGUUCGGGACCAGCCUGAUCAACAUGGUGGAACCCCAUCUCUACCAAAAAUGUAAACACUAGCCAGGCAUGGUGGCACAUGCCUGUAGUCCCAGCUACUCAGGAGGCUGAAGCACAAGAAUCACUUGAACCUGGGAGGUGGAGGUUGCAGUGAGCCAAGAUCAUGCCACUGCAUUCCAGCCUGGGUGACAGUGACACUCUGUUUAAAAAAAAGAAAGAAAAAAACAAAAAACCCCCACACAUCUAUAGUGAACUUAUUGUUGACAAAGGUGCCAGGAACAUACAUGGGAGAAAAGACAGUCUUUUCAAUAAAUGGUAGCGGGGAAAACUGGAUAUCCAUAUGCAGAAGAAUGAAACUUGACCCCUAUUUCUCACCAUAUACAAAAAUCAAAUCAAAAUGGAUUAAAGACUUAAAUCCAACACCUCAAAUUGUGGAACUACCAUAAGAAAACACUGAAGAAAAUAUCCAGGGCAUUGGUCUGGACAGAAACGUGAGUAAUACCCCACAAGCACAGGCAACCAAAGCAAAAAUGGACAAAUGGGAUUAUAGUACAUUAAAAAGCUUCUGCACAGCAAAGGAAAUAAUAAAGUGAAGAGAACCCAGGGAAUGGGAGAAAAUAUUUCCAAACUAUCCAUCUGACAAGGGAGUCAUAACCAGAAUAUAUAAGGAGUUCAAACAACUCUAUAAGAAAAAAAUCUAAUAAUCAGAUUUAAAAAUGGGCAAAAGAUCUGGUAGACAUUUCUCAAAAGAAGACAUUUAAAUGGCAAACAGGCAUAUAAACAGGUGUUCAAAAUCACUGAUCAUCAGUGAACUGCAAAUCAAAACUACAAUGAGAUAGCAUGUCACCCCAGUUAAAAUGGCUUUUAUCCAAAAGACGGGCAAUAACAAAUGCUGAUGAGAAUGUGGAGAAAAGGGAACCCUUGUGCAGCUUAGGUGGGAAUGUAAAUUAGUACAACCACUAUGGAGAACAGUUUGGAGGUUCUUAAAAAAACUAAAAAUAGAGCUAGCAUAUGAUCCAGCAAUCCCAUUGAUGGAUACAGAUGACAAAUAAGAAAAGUCAGUAUACUAAAGAGAUAUCUGCACUCUCAAAUUGCAGCAUUCUUCACAAUAGCCAAGUUAUGGAAUCAGCGUAAGUGUCCAUCAACAGAUGAAUGGAUAAAGAAAAUGUGGUAUACAAUAGAGUACUAUUCAGUUAUAAAAAAGAAUGAGAUCCUGUCAUUUGCAACAACAUGGAUGGAACUGGAGGUCAGUAUGUUAAGUGAAAUAAGGAAUGAAUAAUACCUAGUAUUUCACAGCACAAGGUGACUAUAGUCAAUAAUUGUACAUUUAAAAAUAAGUAUAACUGGAUUGUUUAUAACACAAAAGAUAAAUGUUUGAGGGGAUGAAUAGCCCAUUUUCCAUGUGAUUAUUACACAUUGCAUGCCUGUAUUAAAAUUAUCUCAUGUACCCCAUAAAUACAUACAUCUAUGUAUCCACAAAAAUUAAAAAUUUUAAAAUGAGAUUUAGGUUGGUGUUAGUGAUUUAAGAGUAGAGCUAAUAUUUGAAGCAACAAAUGUGUAAUGUGAGAGUCCUGAGGAUGAAAUCCCACAGAACAUCAUAUUUUUAAAAGUGGGGGUAGGGAGGAGAAAAUUUAUAAUCUAAAGGAGAAGUAGGCAGUAUAAAAAGCAGAAGUGGUUUAAAAGCAGAAGACAGUAAUACUAUCAAAUCUUCAACUUAUCAACCUUACAGUGAUUAAUAUCCCAUUGAUUUUGGCAAGUGAGUGGUUACCCUGGCUAGAGCAGCAGGUGAAGUAAAAGAAAAAGACAUGAUGGAAGGUACUGCUCAGUGGCUGGCUGAAGUGAAGGAUCACAGAAACUAGGGAGUCUGUAAUGGAAAUAAAAGCACUAGUAGAAUGACAUUGAAGGCACCAAGUAGUCAAAGGACUGAUAAGUUUAUGUAUCAGUUUACUGUUAAAGACCACUCCCUAUUACCCAAACUUUUAGUUCACGAACUUGGUGUCCCAGUAUUUGCACAGUACAUCUAGGCAAAACAGCAAACAAAACUUAGUUUUGUUUAUUAAGUAGUCCAAACAACUUAUUUGUGCCAAAACAAUUUAGCACCUGUUGGACACUAUGCAGCUUACACUGUAAUCAUAUUGACCAACACUACCUACAUUUUCUGUUACUCACUCAUCUUCUGUGAUAUUUGCAUUUUUAUCACAGCAACCACUAAAAGCCCAGCUUCACAAAGAUCUGUCAUUAAAAAGAAUGUGGCAAUAUAACUGUAAAACUGAAAAUCCUUGCACUAGUAAUGUGUGUGGUGUCCAGCAAACACAAAUGUGACUGUGAUUUCCUCAAAGUUAAAAUAUCCUGCAGCACCCCUGAGUUCUCUGAGGUGCCCAGGGAAUCUCAGUUUAUAAUUUUGGAACCAUAGCCCUAUUCCCUAUCCUUGCUUUUAUUUUCCUCAAUAGUACUUAUCACCCUACAUAUUUU